rnacentral:rRNA from 1 species
UUACCUGGACUUGACUAUCUGGGGAAUCCCUAUGAAAUAGGGAGUGCCUUCGGGGAGCCCCAAGACAGGUGCUGCAUGGCUGUCGUCAGCUCGUGUCGUGAGAUGUUGGGUUAAGUCCCGCAACGAGCGCAACCCUUGUCUCUAGUUACCAUCAUUUGGUUGGGGACUCUAGAGAUACUGCCAAGGUUAACUUGGAGGAAGGUGGGGAUGACGUCAAGUCCUCAUGGCCUUUAUGUCCAGGGCUACACACGUGCUACAAUGGACGGUACAGAGGGUCGCAAUAUCGCGAGAUGGAGCCAAUCCCAAAAAGCCGUUCCCAGUUCGGAUUGGAGUCUGCAACUCGACUCCAUGAAGUUGGAACCGCUAGUAAUCGCGGAUCAGCAUGCCGCGGUCGAAUACGUUCCCGGGCCUU